CUCUCAGACGAAGAAACAGGCCGAGAACACGAUUUCUAAUCGAAAUUUCCAGUUCAACAAUGGAACUAUGAAGAUCUUCAACAACAACAGAAAUAAAGAAGAUAACAACUAAUCGUCAUUCACAGAACAACUUUGGGUACUGGAAUCUGUACCUGGAGAUGUAAAUCCUGAAGAGAGUGAUGGAGAAGUUGAGAAGGUUUUCC